rnacentral:lncRNA from 1 species
AUUCUCUGGUGUUCUGGUUCAGUCUGAGUUUUAGGCAGGCUCGGUGUCUCCCUUGAUCUUACAGUAGGGCAUUAUUGAUCCUGUUCCUUCCACAGCAGUAGACUCUAUUUUUCUUGGCCAUGAAUGUGUUUCUGCCCUUUCCCUAGGGGGAAGAGGGGAAGAUAAUUCAUAUGGAGCAUCACACCAGCUAUCUCCUGCUCCCUGUCCUGCACUGCAAAGGAGGCCUUUUCAUCCUCUCUACUGCCUCCAAUUUUUCUCACGAGGAAUGUGAGAGGAAAACCUGUAUCUGCACAGCUUCACAGAAGAUUAUCUGGAUCUGGAGAAGAGGUGGGUGUCUCUGGGAAAGAAGCAGAGAGGCCCACAGACAGAAGGGAUUAGCCUUAUCUCAGAUGAGAUUUUGGACUUGGACUUUUGAAUUAAUCCUUCAAUGACCAUAGUUUAAGAAGAGAUAUCUUGAAAACACGGAAAGAGAAAAGUCAAUACAAUAUUUCCUAAUUUUUUAAGAGGUCAGAGAAGGGAGUUACUGUGUGGCCUGGAGCAGGUGAUUCUGACUACCAAGGGAAAAUUGGAGUACUACUCCACAAUGGAGGGUCUGCAGGAUGGACCCGGCAGCUGGUGCCCUGUGUGAGGAACGCUGCAACGGACUGCGACAGAACCCUCGAAAACGAAGGUGAAGAGACUGUGCAGUCAUGUGACAGACACAUCAAACCAUACCAUGGCGUGGCUAAGACCCAAGCUGGUAUCAAAAAUAAAGGAAACGACGCUGCAGGACCCGCAGCCCCAGACGAUGUGGCUUCCUCCGAUGACACAGGCCCCAGACAUUACCUGGGGGAAGCUGAAGAAGACAACUCAGGAGGCCGAGUGAAUCCUUCUCUGGACACAGACACCAUCACUCCAGAUAAUCUGUUCCUUGCUAUGCUCUCUAUUGUACCUUGCAACUCUCAUAGGGUAUUCACCUUUCUUAUUCUCUCACUUUGCCUGCAACUCAUACCUGCUACAUUCUAUUGGGCCCAUCUUCUAAGAUCUGCCUUUCUUCCAACCUGUUACCUUGGCAGACACCCCCUUCCCAUCCUCUAAUAAUGUAACUGCUUAGCUGGGAGGGGUUGACAUGCCCCCAGUGGGGUUCCUUAAUAAUGGCACACAUUGAACUGAGGUGCCAAGUAACACUACAUAUCUCUCCUUGAUUGGAAAAGAAUAAUAGUGACUAUACUAAUGUUUGACUUAUGUUAUUUACUAAUUCUAGGAUGCAAAGCCGGAACACGAGCUGUAACCGCUGCGCCUGUCAAAUCUGUCACUGCACACAUCUGUACUAUUCAAUCAACAAAACCCGAUGCUAAAAACAGAAAAGGGGGAGACGCGGGAGAUCGGUCAGAGUGGUAGGAGAAGGUAUAGGGAAAGGAACAGACCUUCUGAAAGGCGGGAAGGCUCUGGAUAGCUUCAGGGAUGAAUAAGCUGAAGGCAGCUGUUCUCUUACCCUGAGGCAGAGGGCAAGGGGUAGGUAAGGAAGUAUAGGGGAAUUUGGCAUAAACAGGCUUGUUUACUUACAUUGUCCGGAAACCGACUUUGAUCAUCAGGGCAGGAGACUGCUCCCUGAAAGGGGGAAUAAUAAUGUUAAUUACCCACAGAUUGUGUUGGCUCCAGGCUUUCAUUAUUUUGUCUGUACUGAAUAAAAGCAAGCAGCUCCAGCUGUUCGAGACUGCUCACUCUUCAGCCAUUAGUGCUGGGCAUUCCUGUAGCUGCUCUUACACUGCAUGCCUGUGGCUGAGUACUCCUUUCAUCCGUUGCUUGGCCAGGGUCUGUGGGAUGGACCCCGCAGGUAAGGGUUAUCAAAAAAAAAAAAAAUUCACAGGCAGAUAGGA